GUAGGUGGCAAGCGUUGUCCGGAAUUAUUGGGCGUAAAGCGCGCGCAGGCGGUUUUUUAAGUCUGAUGUGAAAGCCCACGGGCUCAACCGUGGAGGGUCAUUGGAAACUGGAGAACUUGAGUACAGAAGAGGAAAGCGGAAUUCCACGUGUAGCGGUGAAAUGCGUAGAGAUGUGGAGGAACACCAGUGGCGAAGGCGGCUUUCUGGUCUGUAACUGACGCUGAGGCGCGAAAGCGUGGGGAGCAAACAGGAUUAGAUACCCUGGUAGUCCACGCCGUAAACGAUGAGUGCUAAGUGCUAGGGGGUUUCCGCCCCUUAGUGCUGCAGCUAACGCAUUAAGCACUCCGCCUGGGGAGUACGGCCGCAAGGCUG
rnacentral:rRNA from 1 species